rnacentral:rRNA from 1 species
AAUCAACGCUGGCGGCGUGCCUCAGACAUGCAAGUCGAACGAUUAAAGCUCUCUUCGGAGAGUGUAUAGAGUGGCGCACGGGUGAGUAACACGUAAGUAAUCUACCCUCGAGUCGGGAAUAACGGUCCGGAAACGGACGCUAAUACCGCAUAAUGCAGCGGCACCGCAAGGUGACAGUUGUUAAAGAUUUAUCGCGUUGAGGAGGAGCUUGCGGCAGAUUAGGCAGUUGGUAAGGUAAUGGCUUACCAAGGCUACGAUCUGUAACCGGUCUUAGAGGACGGUCGGUCAC